rnacentral:rRNA from 1 species
AACGAACGCUGGCGGCAUGCCUUACACAUGCAAGUCGAACGGUUACGCGGGGCAACCUGGCGACGAGUGGCGAACGGGUGAGUAAUGCAUCGGAACGUGCCCAGUAGUGGGGGAUAGCCCGGCGAAAGCCGGAUUAAUACCGCAUACGACCUACGGGUGAAAGCGGGGGACCGCAAGGCCUCGCGCUAUUGGAGCGGCCGAUGUCAGAUUAGGUAGUUGGUGGGGUAAAGGCCUACCAAGCCUACGAUCUGUAGCUGGUCUGAGAGGACGACCAGCCACACUGGGACUGAGACACGGCCCAGACUCCUACGGGAGGCAGCAGUGGGGAAUUUUGGACAAUGGGGGCAACCCUGAUCCAGCCAUGCCGCGUGCGGGAAGAAGGCCUUCGGGUUGUAAACCGCUUUUGUCGGGGAAGAAACGCUCCGGGCUAAUACCCUGGAGUAAUGACGGUACCCGAAGAAUAAGCACCGGCUAACUACGUGCCAGCAGCCGCAGUAAGAC